rnacentral:rRNA from 1 species
AGUAACGGCGAGUGAAGCGGCAAAAGCUCAAAUUUGAAAUCUGGCACCUUCGGUGUCCGAGUUGUAAUUUGAAGAAGGUAACUUUGGAGUUGGCUCUUGUCUAUGUUCCUUGGAACAGGACGUCACAGAGGGUGAGAAUCCCGUGCGAUGAGAUGCCCAAUUCUAUGUAAAGUGCUUUCGAAGAGUCGAGUUGUUUGGGAAUAAAAACGGGCGAUCCAUAU